GACGAACGCUGGCGGCGUGCCUAAUACAUGCAAGUAGAACGCACAGUUUAUACCGUAGCUUGCUACACCAUAAACUGUGAGUUGCGAACGGGUGAGUAACGCGUAGGUAACCUGCCUGGUAGCGGGGGAUAACUAUUGGAAACGAUAGCUAAUACCGCAUAAUAUUGAUUAUUGCAUGAUAAUUGAUUGAAAGAUGCUAUUGCAUCACUACCAGAUGGACCUGCGUUGUAUUAGCUAGUAGGUGAGGUAACGGCUCACCUAGGCGACGAUACAUAGCCGACCUGAGAGGGUGAUCGGCCACACUGGGACUGAGACACGGCCCAGACUCCUACGGGAGGCAGCAGUAGGGAAUCUUCGGCAAUGGACGAAAGUCUGACCGAGCAGCGCCGCGUGAGUGAAGAAGGUUUUCGGAUCGUAAAGCUCUGUUGUAAGAGAAGAACGGGUGUGAGAGUGGAAAGUUCACACUGGACG
rnacentral:rRNA from 1 species